AGGUGUGUAUACAAAGCAGUGAGGUUCAAAGGCUGAACGAAAAACUGGCACAAAGAGAGAAGGAACUGAGGGAAAAGGAUGAUGCUUUAAAGAGUCUAGAAAGGCUGAGAGAGAUGGAAAUAACUGAGGCUCAAAUCAAGGUUUCUGCUCUGGAGCUCCAGCUCAUGAAAAAGACCUCUGAAGACAGUCAUGAUGGCGAGGCCCAUGCAAAUGUCUCAACCACUGAGUCACUAAGGGCCCAGC